rnacentral:tRNA from 1 species
UACCCGGUAGUGUAACGGUAGCACAACAGGUUUUGGUCCUGUUCGUCGAGGUUCGAAUCCUCGCCGGGUAA